rnacentral:rRNA from 1 species
GGCCUUGACAUACUAAGAACUUUCCAGAGAUGGAUUGGUGCCUUCGGGAACUUAGAUACAGGUGCUGCAUGGCUGUCGUCAGCUCGUGUCGUGAGAUGUUGGGUUAAGUCCGCAACGAGCGCAACCCUUUUCCUUAUUUGCCAGCGGGUCAUGCCGGGAACUUUAAGGAUACUGCCAGUGACAAACUGGAGGAAGGCGGGGACGACGUCAAGUCAUCAUGGCCCUUACGGCCAGGGCUACACACGUGCUACAAUGGUCGGUACAAAGGGUUGCUACCUCGCGAGAGGAUGCUAAUCUCAAAAAGCCGAUCGUAGUCCGGAUCGCAGUCUGCAACUCGACUGCGUGAAGUCGGAAUCGCUAGUAAUCGCGGAUCAGAAUGCCGCGGUGAAUACGUUCCCGGGCCUUGUACACACCGCCCGUCACACCAUGGGAGUUUGUUGCACCAGAAGUAGGUAGUCUAACCGCAAGGAGGACGCUUACCACGGUGUGGCCGAUGACUGGGGUGAAGUCGUAACAAGGUAGGCGUACUACA